UUGAGCCCAAUUGAUUGAUGGUGCUUGCACCUGAUUGAUUUUGGUCGCCAACGAGUGGCGGACGGGUGAGUAACACGUAGGUAACCUGCCCAGAAGCGGGGGACAACAUUUGGAAACAGAUGCUAAUACCGCAUAACAACGUUGUUCGCAUGAACAACGCUUAAAAGAUGGCUUCUCGCUAUCACUUCUGGAUGGACCUGCGGUGCAUUAGCUUGUUGGUGGGGUAACGGCCUACCAAGGCGAUGAUGCAUAGCCGAGUUGAGAGACUGAUCGGCCACAAUGGGACUGAGACACGGCCCAUACUCCUACGGGAGGCAGCAGUAGGGAAUCUUCCACAAUGGGCGCAAGCCUGAUGGAGCAACACCGCGUGAGUGAAGAAGGGUUUCGGCUCGUAAAGCUCUGUUGUUAAAGAAGAACACGUAUGAGAGUAACUGUUCAUACGUUGACGGUAUUUAACCAGAAAGUCACGGCUAACUACGUGCCAGCAGCCGCGGUAAUACGUAGGUGGCAAGCGUUAUCCGGAUUUAUUGGGCGUAAAGAGAGUGCAGGCGGUUUUCUAAGUCUGAUGUGAAAGCCUUCGGCUUAACCGGAGAAGUGCAUCGGAAACUGGAUAACUUGAGUGCAGAAGAGGGUAGUGGAACUCCAUGUGUAGCGGUGGAAUGCGUAGAUAUAUGGAAGAACACCAGUGGCGAAGGCGGCUACCUGGUCUGCAACUGACGCUGAGACUCGAAAGCAUGGGUAGCGAACAGGAUUAGAUACCCUGGUAGUCCAUGCCGUAAACGAUGAGUGCUAGGUGUUGGAGGGUUUCCGCCCUUCAGUGCCGGAGCUAACGCAUUAAGCACUCCGCCUGGGGAGUACGACCGCAAGGUUGAAACUCAA
rnacentral:rRNA from 1 species